rnacentral:rRNA from 1 species
GACGAACGCUGGCGGCGUGCUUAACACAUGCAAGUCGAACGGAAAGGCCCCGCUUUUGUGGGGUGCUCGAGUGGCGAACGGGUGAGUAACACGUGAGUAACCUGCCCUUGACUUUGGGAUAACUUCAGGAAACUGGGGCUAAUACCGGAUAGGAGCUCCUGCUGCAUGGUGGGGGUUGGAAAGUUUCGGCGGUUGGGGAUGGACUCGCGGCUUAUCAGCUUGUUGGUGGGGUAGUGGCUUACCAAGGCUUUGACGGGUAGCCGGCCUGAGAGGGUGACCGGCCACAUUGGGACUGAGAUACGGCCCAGACUCCUACGGGAGGCAGCAGUGGGGAAUAUUGCACAAUGGGCGGAAGCCUGAUGCAGCAACGCCGCGUGCGGGAUGACGGCCUUCGGGUUGUAAACCGCUUUCGCCUGUGACGAAGCGUGAGUGACGGUAAUGGGUAGAGAAGCACCGGCUAACUACGAG